UGAACGCUAGCUACAGGCUUAACACAUGCAAGUCGUGGGCAGCAUGGAGGUGCUGCAACUCUGAUGGCGACCGGCGCACGGGUGAGUAACGCGUAUCCAACCUGGCCCUUAGUAGGGGAUAGCCCGGCGAAAGUCGGAUUAAUACCCUAUGUUCUUCUUUGACGGCAUCUGACGAGAAGCAAAGAUUCAUCGCUAAGGGAUGGGGAUGCGUCUGAUUAGGUAGUAGGCGGGGUAACGGCCCACCUAGCCGACGAUCAGUAGGGGUUCUGAGAGGAAGGUCCCCCACAUUGGUACUGAGACACGGACCAAACUCCUACGGGAGGCAGCAGUGAGGAAUAUUGGUCAAUGGGCGAGAGCCUGAACCAGCCAAGUAGCGUGCAGGAAUGACUGCCCUAUGGGUUGUAAACUGCUUUUAUGCGGGAAUAAAGUGCACUACGUGUAGUGUUUUGUAUGUACCGCAUGAAUAAGGACCGGCUAAUUCCGUGCCAGCCGCUGC
rnacentral:rRNA from 1 species